GUAAAAUAACAGCGUAACCGCAAUAACACCAUGUGUCCUGUGAGGAAAAACAAGGUGAACAUGUGAAUCCAGUAAAAGAGGAGGCCAAAAAAGCAUCGAAGCAAUGUCAGAUCCCUGGGAUGUCCAGUCGCUCAACCUUUACACUGUGAUCACCUUGAUGGUACCUUGGAGGUAAAACUCAGGGCGGAGAGACGGACGGGCGAUGGCGAUUAAACAUGCAUGAGGGACCGGUGCUGUAAGGCAGGGCUUGGUGUGAAAGCUGUCAACUGCUCAAGUUUCACCUUGGUGUAAGAAUAGCUGCGUGAGUCGAAGAUCAAAUGGGAGCGACGACAUCGGGUCGCGCAGAACCUUCUUGAGUCGAGAGUAGCCCUCCGGAGCCCAGAGGAUACAGAAGAGAAGCGCAGGGAUCGCAGACACAGGAGCUUUCCGGAGACGCGCCGGUGCAGAGCCAUGGAUUUCUGUCAGGAAGAGGCUGUGAGACGUCUGCAGUGGGAAAACAGGUUGAUUCUCCAGGAUCUGCUCCGCAGGGGGCUUCAGAGUCCCUUUCAAUGCCGAAAAGAGGGCAGGACGCCCAAGGCCAG
ensembl:lncRNA